AGAGUUUGAUCCUGGCUCAGGAUGAACGCUGGCGGCGUGCCUAACACAUGCAAGUCGAGCGAAGCACUUUACUUUGAGAUCUUCGGAAGGAUAAGUUUUGUGACUGAGCGGCGGACGGGUGAGUAACGCGUGGGUAACCUGCCUCAUACAGGGGGAUAACAGUUAGAAAUGACUGCUAAUACCGCAUAAGACCACAGCACCGCAUGGUGCAGUGGUAAAAACUCCGGUGGUAUGAGAUGGACCCGCGUCUGAUUAGCUAGUUGGCAGGGUAACGGCCUACCAAGGCGACGAUCAGUAGCCGACCUGAGAGGGUGACCGGCCACAUUGGGACUGAGACACGGCCCAAACUCCUACGGGAGGCAGCAGUGGGGAAUAUUGCACAAUGGGGGAAACCCUGAUGCAGCGACGCCGCGUGAGCGAUGAAGUAUUUCGGUAUGUAAAGCUCUAUCAGCAGGGAAGAAACUGACGGUACCUGACUAAGAAGCACCGGCUAAAUACGUGCCAGCAGCCGCGGU
rnacentral:rRNA from 1 species